rfam:Operophtera brumata OBRT01_Sc00706, whole genome shotgun sequence.
CGAUCUAUGGAUAAAUUGUUUAAGGCAUCGCUGACGACAGGCGAGGGUGCGGGUUCGAGUCCCGCUAGAACGG